rnacentral:rRNA from 1 species
UCCGUAGGUGAACCUGCGGAAGGAUCAUUAAUAAAUGGCGACGCUUUCGAGCUUAGCUUUUAUAUCCUUAUACACCUGUGAACUAUUUGCCUUUGGGCACAAACUUAAACAUAAUGUAAUGAAUGUAAACUACAAUAAAUAAAUACAACUUUCAACAACGGAUCUCUUGGCUCUCACAUCGAUGAAGAACGCAGCGAAAUGCGAUAAGUAAUGUGAAUUGCAAAAUUCAGUGAAUCAUCGAAUCUUUGAACGCAAAUUGCGCCCUUUGGUAUUCCGAAGGGCAUGCCUGUUUGAGUGUCUUAUAAACCUCACUCUAAUGUUUAUUCAUUAGUAGUGCUUUGGGUGUUGCCAGCGAUGGCUCGCCUUAAAUGUCUAAGUGGAAUGCAUAAUAAGUUCUUGCAACCCUCCACUCUAACACACUUUAUAUUCUGACCUCAAAUCAGGUAGGACUACCCGCUGAACUUAAGCAUAUCAAUAAGCGGAGGAA